rnacentral:rRNA from 1 species
UAACUAGGCCGAGGAAAAGAAACUAACCAGGAUUCCCCCAGUAACGGCGAGUGAAGCGGGAGAAGCCCAUGCUGCCAACCGCUCCGGCGGGUUGUGCCAGGCGUGCCUGGUGAGGUCCCGGGGAGAAAUUCUUUGGAACAAGGUAUCAGAGAGGGUGACAAUCCCGUCUGUGCCUCGGGGUCCUCGCGUGAAGGCCGUCCUAGUGGAGUCGAGUUGCUUGGGAUUGCAGCUCAAAGUCGGUGGUAAAUUCCAUCGAAGGCUAAAUACGGGUGGG